rnacentral:rRNA from 1 species
GAAUUCAACUCCUACGGGAGGCAGCAGUGGGGAAUAUUGGACAAUGGGCGCAAGCCUGAUCCAGCCAUGCCGCGUGUGUGAAGAAGGCCUUCGGGUUGUAAAGCACUUUCAGUAGGGAGGAAGGGUGUUGUGUUAAUAGCACAGCAUUUUGACGUUACCUACAGAAGAAGCACCGGCUAACUCUGUGCCAGCAGCCGCGGUAAUACAGAGGGUGCAAGCGUUAAUCGGAAUUACUGGGCGUAAAGCGCACGUAGGCGGUUUUUUAAGUCAGAUGUGAAAGCCCCGGGCUCAACCUGGGAAUUGCAUUUGAAACUGGAAAACUAGAGUGUGUGAGAGGGGGGUAGAAUUCCAAGUGUAGCGGUGAAAUGCGUAGAGAUUUGGAGGAAUACCAGUGGCGAAGGCGGCCCCCUGGCACAACACUGACGCUCAGGUGCGAAAGCGUGGGGAGCAAACAGGAUUAGAAACCCUAGUAGUCCAGGCGUU